rnacentral:lncRNA from 1 species
UAGAAUUUGUCAAAUCUUUUGGCUUAACCAGACUUAGUGUAGCUCACUUACCUAAAUUGGAUUUCUGUUUUUCCGGAAUAUGACCAUGUGUGACUUGGUUUAAUUGAUCCAAUGGCUUACUUCAACAUUCCCUUAUUCUCCUUUUUGGGUCACUCUGGAAAGUACAUAUGUUAUUCCUCACUCAAAACCUCUCUUCAAGUUUGCAUGGAUGAUCUGCUUUGAUUAAAUCAGCAAACAAGAUUGAUAUCUAUAUUAAUUUGCAAACAUGGAAUCAUCACAUUUAUUAAAUAAGAUCACUGAUGCAUCUUUCGCAAGAUUUUUUAUUUGAGAUUGAAAAAAAAAAAAAAAAACCUUUGUACCUUCUGCCAAGAUUUUAAGUAUGAUCAUCCCUGCAUCUCUCUCCCAAGCUUUUUUGGCAUUGCAGUUAUCAGUUUGUCAUGGCAAAGAAGGACAAAGCGGUAAAUGAUAUGCCAAAGGAAAGAAUUCAUAAUACGGCUUAGAUGUUUAUUUUUUGUGAUACCUUGCAUCAAAUUCUUAAUGUACACAGAGUCAAAUCUUUGACCACAUUCAUUCCUAAAUGUCAAUCUGGCAUUUCAAAUCAGUUAUUUGCAUAUACAUUUGAUACUUCCCUCCAUUUCCAUGAUGACAUGUAUAUU